rnacentral:rRNA from 1 species
CGAGCUACCUGGUGACAGGAUGCGAAUCUCGAAAGCCGGUCUCAGUUCGGAUUGGAGGCUGAAACUCGCCUCCAUGAAGUUGGAUUCGCUAGUAAUCGCGCAUCAGCCAUGGCGCGGUGAAUACGUUCCCGGGCCUUGUACACACCGCCCGUCAAGCCAUGGGAGUUGGGGGUGCCUGAAGUACGUGACCGCAAGGAGCGUCCUAGGGCAAAACCGAUGACUGGGGCUAAGUCGUAACAAGGUAGC